AUCUACUCCCUGGAGAGGUUGGAAAUCAAAUGACGCAGGAAAUGAGAGGGUUCAAGAUGCUAAAUCCCAAGAUGUAAAUUGUUGGAACCAACUAAAUGAUUCAUCUGCCAAACCACAUGUUUGGGAUAAGGACAAGAUGCAUGGUCAAUCUAAUUCUGUCUGGGGUAGUCAGAACCUAAAGGGUACCCAUACAGAGAGAUCUUCAGAUAUUGGUGGUUGGAAUGAAGACAGAGGACAAGAUGAGUUGAAUCAACCAACAAGAUCUCCUGUUUGGAGUUCUUCCCCUAUUGAGAAGUCUUCAGAUGAUAGGAGUUGGAAAGAAAAUAGAGCACAAGCUUGAUUUCUAUCGACUGACCAGAGCUCCUGGAUGGGGUUCUUUGAGUAGAUCCAUUACACUCAAUAGCAGAAGAGAUGUAGAUUCAUUACACUCAAUUCAGGAUGUUGUUUGAAUUACUUGUCCUAAUAGGUGCACAAGUUGGGAUGGAUUGGACUUCUAUCUUUAAAAAAUGCCAUGAUUUCAGGAAGUUAUUAUUGUAAUGGAAAGUUAAAAAAUUAAAAGAGAGAGAGAGAGAGAGAGAUAAUGAACUCAUGGAAAGAAAUGUUCUUUAUCAUUAGGGCUGCUUUCACCGUGUUUGAUGCAGAAAUUGUCACCAACUUCACAGAAAGACAAAUAACAUCAGUGGCCACAGAUUGCAACCUGGAUUUAAACAAGGUUCGAAGUGCCAUCAACAAUACUAACAGAAUCCUCUAGGUCAGAUUGUUGAUUGGACCUGAUUUUAUUUAAAUGAUCUUGAUAAUCCAUUUUAUUUAAAUGAGUAGACCCAGAUGUGCGUCGGAGCUA